rnacentral:lncRNA from 1 species
UUCUUUAGGUUUUUGCGAAAAAUCUAUGUGUUGUGUUUAUGUUGUUAUGAGAAACAAGGUCUUGCCGUGUUGUUCUUGAUUAGGUUUUAAAAAAAAAAUAUCUUUUGCUCUGUUAUUGUUGUGUUUGCUGUUUUUCUUGCCAGUAUUCAUUUUUUGUUAACUUCUUUUCUAUCUGUUUAUGAAGAAGUUGUUAAGUCUUGAAAAAUUUCCCCUUUUUCGAUUU